CUUAAUUACACUUUUAUAUCUGCAUAUAAUGUACGUAUAUGUAUAAUAAUUAUUUAUUAAUAGACAUUUAAUUAGGAAAUAAAAAUAAAUAAUGUAAAAAUUCACAUUUUAAUAAAGUAAAAUGUGUGACAUAUAGCGCUAAUCUCUCUAAUACCAUGAAGGAUUGACAAAAAAAAAAAAACCUACUAGAGAAAAUGUCUUUGUGCUCACAAAAUGUUAUUAGUCCUUGUGACAACUAGUCCCAGGCGCCCUUUACUUCUAAAAAAGCCCCAAAGCUUGAAUAGGAUGUAUUUAUUCAAUUUAGUUCACCUUACAUUGCAAUGAUACUGUAUACAGCUUGUAUUCUUGCUAUUUCUAGACAAGCAACAACUGUUAUUUACCCAUAGCUGCUGCUCUGUGAUGUCUGAAGCACUGGAGUGGUGCAUCGUGGGAUUGUGGGGGUGGUAGGUAUCAGUCCCCUGUAGAGCAUUUGAUUUCGUCUCUUCCUCCACAGUAGAUACACUGAUAGGCCAAACAGCAACAGGAACAGAAAUGCUGCAGACAGUCCACAUGCCAGUGCUACAAGUGGAUCUAAAGGCACAGUCACCCUUCCCUCUCACUCAGUGUAUCAUACAACCGAGAACAUGGCUUUGCAUUAACUAAACCUGCUGUGUGACACCAUUGGACAGUCUCUUUCUCUCAUGCCUUUUAAAUAAAUGUGUCAAGUGUCUUGUGUCAACACGCUUUAGUGGAGACCUGCAUGCAAGAGGUGGAGCACAUUGCAUUUUGCUACUCAAGAAACACUGUAUUUCUAUCUAGAGCAACAACCUGUUUUAUACUUUACUGUAGGGGAUUUACUGCAGCCACCUGGAGGGUGAACCAGAACUUCCUAACAGGUAGAGUAAGUGUGAAUCACCGGUUUCUCAUUUUGCCUAGAGGCUCAAUCUCAUAGGCGCUCUUCCUGAUGUCUCACUGAGAGUAAGCUUUGUCUUCUGAUAGCCUGGUCACCCUACGGCGGGGUACUACAGUCCCCCUGAGGCUUCCCAGGACAGUUAAUCAACACCGAACACUGGCUUAAGCAGGUGAGGGAUAUGAGCUCUGCCACUUGCAGUAUUUAUUUCCAAACAGACACAAAACCUUGAUGCAGUCCAGCAGUGAGCAUACAAACUGUGACUAUUUACAGGCAAUUAGCAAGCUAAAAUGACUUCCAAAUAAAAGUGGCAAUUGCUGAAAGCUAUUCUGAAAUAUUUAAUUGAACAAUGUAUGUGACUUCUGUAAUAUGAUCUGUAAUAUGAUUUGAUCAGUGAAUCAGCCAACACAGGGCUCAUAGACUGUUAUGGUGAAUGUUAUGGUGUCUGCAACUGCCUAGUUUGCAUUCACUAAGCGUUAAUAAAUAACUCUUGAAGAACAAGGUAAGUUCAUCAAGGUUGCAAACAAGCAACACAUCUGCUGUUCCCACAAUACCUCUAAAUGUGGUUAACUUGCAUGGGGUUUCAAGACAUUUGAUUGCAAUAAAAACAAUUAUUUACUCUAAACUGGGGGGCCCAAACUCGAUCCUGGAGGGCCGGUGCCCUGCAGAGUUUAGAUCCAUCCCCAAAUAGACACACCUGAACCAGCUAAUCAAGCUCUUACUAGGCAUACUAGAAACCUCCAGGCAGGUGUGUUGAGACAGGCUGGAGCUAAACCCUGCAGGACAUCGGCCCUCCAGGACCGAGUUUGGGCACCCCUGCUCUAAACUCAUCUCAGAUACUAUAUGAAGUAGCAGAAACCUAACUGAAUUGAGUAAGGUCCAAUAAAAUUUGAUGUGUCAAAGUAAUUAAUGUUGGAUCUUGGCUGGCAAGAGCUAGCUAGCAACAGUGCAUGAUAGCACCUUAAUAUCUAGUUCUAUGCAAAGCAUGCUGGGAACCCUGUCCAGUUUCAGACUACGUCAACAAAAAUGUUAAUGUAGUCUCAAAACAAUGGAUUUAUUAAGCUGUAUUUUAGAAAAAUGUUUACGAAUUAUGGACCCAACUAAUUUUACAGUAAACUAGAAAAGGCAGACUAAAAACUUUUUAUAUAUAUUAGACCAUAUGUGACCAUGGACCACAAAACCAGUCAUAAGGGUCAAUUUUUCAAAAGUGAGAUGUAUACAUCAUCUGAAAUUUGAAUAAAUAAGUUUUCCAUUGAUGUAUGGUUUGUUAGAAUAGGACAAUAUUUGGCUGAAAUCUGAAAUCUGAGGGUGCAAAAGAAUAAAAAUAUUGAGAAAAUCGCUCUUAAAGUUGUUCAAAUGAAGUUCUUAGCAAUGCAUAUUACUAAUCAAAAAUUAAGUUUUAAUAUAUUUACAGUAGGAAAUUUACAAAAUAUCUUCAUGGAACAUGAUCUUUACUUAAUAUCCUAAUGAUUUUUGGCAUAAAAGAAAAAUCAAUCAUUUAGAUCCAUACAGUGUAUUUUUGGCUAUUGCUACAAAUAUACCCCAGCGACUUAAGAAUGGUUUUGUGGUCCAGGGUCACAUAUAUAGUAUGUAUUAUAUUUAAUAAUAAAACACAUUUUUCUUUAAGCAAUCAUCUUAUAUCAUGCACUGAAAAUGAACAAUUUAAAGGCAUAGUUAACCCCAAAAUUUUGUCAUAAUUGACCCUUCACAAAAACCCUCCCCCUUACUGUUAAUGGCAAUAUACCAACAAGACAGAGCAGGUUACUUUUGGUAUGAAACAAUGAUUUAAAUUUUGUCAUUUUUUUAAAGAAAUUCAAACAAUAAAUCCAUUUUGUGGCUCUGUGUCGUGACAGAUCGCGGUAGUGCCUCAGUUCAAGCGGCAUGUGAACCGAUCAUCUCUUCCUCUUUACUAGUUAUAGCAUGAAAUAAGCAUGAAUGAACAUCAGUAGGUAUCUUGUUUCAACCACGGAAAGACAUCAAUACACACCAUUCUUCAAGUACAAGUCCAUCAACGUUAAUCUCGUUAAUACUUUCCUGUCUGGUUUGUCGGACAAAAUGGCAGAUUCAGUGUUAUGAUUGGUCAGUUCGCCUGUCAAUCAAAAUCCUUGCAAAGGGUGAAUUGACUUACUUUCAUGACAUUCCACACCUGUGUGACUACUUUCUCUGUGAAAACACACACAUACACACACUAAAACUUGUUUUUUUUUUUUUUUUUAGUUACUAUAUACUAUUUUAUUCUGUGUUCUGCAGAAAAAAGAAAGUCAUACAGGUUUGAACCAACAUGAGUAAAUGAUAACAGGAUUUUCAUUUUUUGGUGAACUAUCACUUUAAGUUGACUUCAAGGAGUCUAUAAUAUAACAUUCAAUUAAGGUUGGGCAUAAGGGUUUAUAAUUCCAGUGGAAAUA
rnacentral:lncRNA from 1 species